CUUUAUCAUUCUACUGGCCUACUUGGACUUGGCUGCCACCGAGAUGAUUUGAUGAAAUCUUAUAGAAGUGCGACAAAGCAUUUGAUAACAUUUUCUGGAAGAAGAACACAAGCGGCGACGCGCCUCGAGUGGGCCAGUAUAAAAGCCAGCGCAGCCCGACAGCGGGCAUCAGUCUACCUGCAGACCGAACUAAAACCGCCACCAUGUACAAGACCCUGCUCCUCGUCUUCGCCGUCCUGGCUGUGGCUUCGGCCCAGUACAUCGCCUCCCCCUACGUUGCCACCGUCGGCGCCUACCCCGCUGCCUACUCUGCCUACUCCGCUUACCCUGCUUACUCUGGAAUCAGCGCCUACGGCGCCUACCCUUACGCCUACUCAAGUCUUGGCUAUGGCUCUGCAUACCUGUACCGCUAAAUCAAAAUAUCUCAACUCUUUGACUUGGACUUCUCGCCUAACGAUCCAACACAGUCGUCUGCAGAAUGACAUCGCUGGAUACCUACACACAACUUUUCGUCCCCUCUAAACAAUUUAUAAAAUAAACAGUGUCGAUUUUGUAAAAAAA